UCAAACUUUCUUGCAAGCUGAAAUUGUUCUGCCCCCAACAAACUACUCUAUCAUUAAGCCGCAAACCACAGCUACGGUUCUCUCCUAAUGCCAACAAUUUGAACUUAUGUUGUGGUUUUUGGCCCUCCAUAGUUCCCCAACAAUGCAAUUCGUUAUCAAAAGUUAGAGCACAGGCAUGCCUGAAGCCAGCAGCAAUCAUGCUAAAAUUCCCUUUUGGAGGGUCACCGACACUAGAAACAUUUCCCAAGCAAGCAAUAUUCCCAUUUCCUGAAAGCCCACAAACGAAGUCUUCACCAACUGCAAUACUGCAAAAGCUCAAGUUCUGAGCAGAGGUAGAGUUGAAUUCCGGCCAUUGCCAGCAAUGGAGACGAUUGGUGGCA
rnacentral:misc_RNA from 1 species